rnacentral:rRNA from 1 species
GACGAACGCUGGCGGCGUGCUUAACACAUGCAAGUCGAACGAAGUGGCGAACGGGUGAGUAACGCGUAAUAAACCUGCCCUUCAGAGGGGGACAACAGUUGGCAACGACUGCUAAUACCGCAUACUCGUGGAGGGGACUGCGUCUGAUUAGCUAGUGGGAGGGGUAACGGCCCACCAAGGCGAUGAUCAGUAGCCGGUCUGAGAGGAUGAACGGCCACAUUGGGACUGAGACACGGCCCAGACUCCUACGGGAGGCAGCAGUGGGGAAGCUUCCGCAAUGGACGAAAGUCUGACGGAGCAACGCCGCGUGAGUGAUGACGGCCUUCGGGUUGUAAAGCUCUGUUAAUCGGGACGCGGUACCGGAAUAGAAAGCCACGGCUAACUACGUGCCAGCAGCCGCGGUAAUAC